GACUACUAACACAAAGGUUCCUGGUUUAAUUCCCGUUCCGGGAUGAAAAUUUCAGGGACUGAAUUUUUGGCUCUCCCUUGACACCAUUUGCAAGUAUGGUCAUGAGGAAACGAUAAUAGUCCGUCGGAAGGAGACGAUAAAUGGCUGACCCGUGUUAAGAGAGAGCCAUAUCUCUUGCACGUAAAAGACACCCUUGUAGAUUUCGAAAAAGAGCAGGCUAAUGCCGCUACAAGGCAGUAUUCGCA
rnacentral:lncRNA from 1 species